rnacentral:lncRNA from 1 species
ACUCAUCAGAAAAGAGACGUGUUAGCAAUGUGUGUCUCCAAAGGGGCUAUUACGGUCUGAACGCUGACGUAUCCCAUGAGCGAAUGUGUUGGAUCACUGCCAUUGACAAACUUCAGGCCAUUUCUCAUGUCCCUGCCCAGAUUACCCGCCCCCAGCUCUGAGAGGGCGUGGUGAUGAAUCACAGCAUGGAGUCCAGACCUGAGGGUGAUAGAUAGGUACAGAUGGUCCUGGGACCAUCUUCCUCAGUGCUAUGCUGAGCAGAAAGAUGGCACGGGUGUUUUCCUAUGACACAGCUGUCUGAUAAAUACCCACCCCCAGCAAAGUUAAUACCUGGAUACACUGCACCCACAGCCAAGACACAGAGGGAGGGGCAGGCUAGGCAACAUCUUAUUUCUGUAUAUCAGAGAACAUUUUGCACACAUUUUGGAAUUUUAUCAUCUUUACCAAACAGAAGGAAUGAAUAAUGGAGGGAAAAAAAAAAACUAGAAGAGCACAAGAAACCAAAAUGUCCAGUUUUCAGAGACUGAAAUGUCUAGCAAUUAGUUUCAAAGACCCAGCUUUGCAAACAUCCUGGCUCGAUUAUGUCCCUGACACCUGGUUGCUGGAGCUCUUCCCUGCUGCUAGAAGCACCACUGGAAGCACUAACUCUAAAGAUCUGCCUCCCCAGUGAUUUGACAACUUCAGAGUUAAGAGCAAAUAAGUUGAGCAGUAGAGGACAUGACAAGGCCUUGUUGGGCCUUCCAAAGGACACAAAAUGUUACAGUACAAGAUUUCUGCCUUGUUGACCAAGACAUAUAGAACUGCAGCAGGAUAAAAGAACUUGCAGUAAGUACUGACUUUGUG